rnacentral:ncRNA from 1 species
AACUGUGGUAAUUCUAGAGCUAAUACAUGCCGACAGAGUUCCGACCGUCGCGGCGCCCUCGGGCGUCGCUCGCGGGAGGAACGCUUUUAUUAGAUCAAAACCGGCCCGUCGCGGCGCGCUUCGUGCGCGUCCCGAUCGCGGCCCGCGCAAAGACCUGGUGACUCUGAAUAACUUCGAGCUGAUCGCACGGUCUCCGUACCGGCGACGCAUCUUUCAAAUGUCUGCCUUAUCAACUGUCGAUGGUAGGUUCCAUGCCUACCAUGGUGGUAACGGGUAACGGGGAAUCAGGGUUCGAUUCCGGAGAGGGAGCCUGAGAAACGGCUACCACAUCCAAGGAAGGCAGCAGGCGCGCAAAUUACCCACUCCCGGAACGGGGAGGUAGUGACGAAAAAUAACGAUACGGGACUCAUCCGAGGCCCCGUAAUCGGAAUGAGAACACUUUAAAACCUUUAAACGAGGAUCAAUUGGAGGGCAAGUCUGGUGCCAGCAGCCGCGGUAAUUCCAGCUCCAAUAGCGUAUAUUAAAGUUGUUGCGGUUAAAAAGCUCGUAGUCGGAUCUGUGUCUGGACGGUGCCCGGACCACCCUGGCGGUCCGUCGUGUCGCGGCCGGCCGUGUCGCGGGACCACGUGUCCCGUCGGCGCGGUCGCCGUCGCGCUCGUCAGCCGUCUCGGGGUGUUAGUUACCGGCACGUCGGCCGGACGUAUUGUCGGCAGGCGGACACGUGUCUCGUGCUUCCGGCGCGCCGCGCGGCCACGCGUCGCGCGGCCGUCGGUGUUCGACGACGGCGGCCGCCUACUCCAAUCUUGCUGCGCGGUGCUCUUCACCGAGUGCCGUCGGCGGGCCGACACGUUUACUUUGAACAAAUUAGAGUGCUCAAAGCAGGCUCGAAUCUGGCGGGGCGGCUUCACGGCCGUCUCGUCAAAAGGCCCUGAAUACUGGUCGCAUGGAAUAAUGGAACAAGACCUCGGUCCCGCGCAUCUCCGCCCUUCGCGGGCGCGCGAAAUCGCCCUCCGGGGCGUUUCCGUGCGCGGGCCGCCGGGCCGCGGGCGCCAGUCGCCCGCGCGUCCCGCCGGGCCGGUUUUCGGGACCGGAGGUAAUGAUCAACAGAGACGGGCGGGGGCAUUCGUACCGAGACGUUAGAGGUGAAAUUCUUGGAUCGUCUCGAGACGAACUGACGCGAAAGCAUUUGCCAAGUACGUUCUCGUAUGAUCAAGAACGAAAGUUAGAGGUUCGAAGGCGAUCAGAUACCGCCCUAGUUCUAACUGUAAACGAUGCCAGCUAGCGAUCCGCCGGCGUUUCAUUAACGACCCGGCGGGCAGCUUCCGGGAAACCGAAGCUUUUCGGUUCCGGGGGAAGUAUGAUUGCAAAGUUGAAACUUAAAGGAAUUGACGGAAGGGCAC